CGCGUAGGUGGUAGUGUAAGUCUGAGGUGGAAUCCCAGGGCUUAACCCUGGAACUGCCUUGGAAACUGCAUUACUUGAGUCAGUGAGGGGAGGGUAGAAUUCCUGGUGUAGCGGUGAAGUGCGUAGAUAUCAGGAGGAAGGCCUGUGGCGAAGGCGGCCCUCUGGUGCUGGACUGACACUGAGGCGCGAAAGCGUGGGGAGCAAACAGGAUUAGAUACCCUGGUAGUCCACGCCCUAAACGGUGGGCACUAGGUGUAGGGCUCGUAAGGGUUCUGUGCCGAAGGGAAACCAUUAAGUGCCCCGCCUGGGGAGUACGGCCGCAAGGUUGAA
rnacentral:rRNA from 1 species